rnacentral:rRNA from 1 species
GACUACCGGGGUAUCUAAGCCUGUUCGCUCCCCACGCUUUCGUGCAUCAGCGUCAGUAACAGUUUAGUAAGCUGCCUUCGCAAUUGGUGUUCUGUGUAAUAUCUAAGCAUUUCACCGCUACACUACACAUUCCGCUUACCUCAAAUGUACUCAAGCUUUUCAGUAUCAAUGGCAAUUUUACCGUUAAGCGGCAAGAUUUCACCACUGACUUAAAAAGCCGCCUACGCACCCUUUAAACCCAAUGAAUCCGGAUAACGCUUGCAUCCUCCGUAUUACCGCGGCUGCUGGCACGGAGUUAGCCGAUGCUUAUUCAUACACUACCGUCGAGUCCCGACACGUCGGAAUUUUUCUUGGUGUAUAAAAGAAGUUUACGACCCAUAGGGCCUUCAUCCUUCACGCGGGAUGGCUGGUUCAGGCUUGCGCCCAUUGACCAAUAUUCCUCACUGCAGCCCCCCGUAGG